rnacentral:rRNA from 1 species
UACGGGGGGGGCAAGCGUUGUUCGGAAUUACUGGGCGUAAAGGGUCCGUAGGUGGCCAACUAAGUCAGACGUGAAAUCCCUCAGCUUAACUGGGGAACUGCGUCUGAGACUGGAUGGCUCGAGUGCAGGAGAGGAAUGCGGAAUUCCAGGUGUAGCGGUGAAAUGCGUAGAUAUCUGGAGGAACACCGGUGGCGAAGGCGGCAUUCUGGACUGCAACUGACACUGAACGACGAAAGCCAGGGGAGCAAACAGG